AUCCGAAGGAAAUCCACAGAUGAUAUUUCACUGAGGGUAUUGUUAAUGUCUUGGGCUAUCAUUAUGUAGCAUUUUUCCAACGGGAUGAAAAGAACAUGGAGUAUUUUUGAGGGGAGAAGGAGAAGAUUUUGUUAAGCUUUUUAAACAAAAUCAAAUUAAAAAAAAAAAAAGAGAGAAAUAUGCGUACAGUAUUUCACCCACAAACAGAUGGCCAAACAUAACAAAUCAAUAGUAUGUAAAUAACAAUGUUAAGAAGAUCUGUUGCAAUGCAUGAAAAAUGACUUGCUUCUCGGCUGCUACAUUCAUACAGACUAAACCUUCACAGAAGAUAGCAGGAUAUAAGUUUUUGUUUUGUUUUUUUUUUUCUUUCAGAGACAGAUGUAGUGGCUCAAAGUUGCCGCUUUCAUUUACAGGUCCAUUUUUAUAAGCUGCAGAACCAACAGAUGCACUUUAAACCUUAAAAACACAGUGGCUAGGAAAUACACAGUGCUGGAAGUCUGAAAGCCAGAAGCAGCAGAAGGAAGUGCUGCUCUGUUUUCACAAGGACUGUGAAUUCCCUGCACUUAUGAUCACGCUGUCUUUCACAGGAUGUAAAGCCUCCUGAAAUUGCUAUUCUGUCAGUGUUGCCUCUCUUAAUCCUAAAACAUUUCAUCAUGGAAGUACUGUGGAAGUACAUGGAUGCAGAGGAGAUAACGGAGUCAUUUGGAGGCAACGGGCUGCAUCGACUCUCAGCCCCUCAGCAAAUCAAAAUCUUAAUGAUCCUCAACUCCUUUGUGAACUUAACUGUGUUUAAAAAUGGAGUUAGAGUGCUAGUGCCAGCAGAAGAAUGCAGACUAUAUAAACAUAAACUGUCAGUUUUAAGAAUGGAAAGUUCCUAA
rnacentral:lncRNA from 1 species